rnacentral:tRNA from 7 species
GCCGAAGUGGUGGAACUGGCAGACGCGCCGGACUCAAAAUCCGGUGGCCGCGAGGCCGUGCGGGUUCGACCCCCGCCUUCGGCACCA